GCUAUACUAUUACAGAAAGAUAGAAAUGGACUCCUCGGUCUGCAGACACGACAGAUAUACCUCGAAGUGUCUACAGAAUUGCCUCGCCUCACAGAUGAUAAGACUGAGUGGAAGUACCUAGAUCUGCACCUGAAAAACAUGCGCAGAAAGGGCAUGAGUACACCACAGCGGUACUCAGUAAGUGCCAAGCCUAACAUCGGUCGGGUAGUGACGAGGAAAGUCAGGGUCCUACUGAGGUUAAAUAAAAUACAAGGUAUAACAGUGUAGAACAAGACAAUAUAAUUAAGUGCAACAGUAAAAGUAACACAGAAUAGAAAGAACAACAAUAACUACUACAGAGGCAAAGUAAACACAGAAAGAAAUACAGCUCAAUACAGAAAUAACAACCGGGAUCUCCCAGGAUACCGUCCUAUAGUCCAAAAUAUAAAUAUCUAGUUGAUCUCCUGGGAUACCGUCCCGUAGUCCAACUCAUAAUGCAAGGGGAUCUCCCGGAAUACCGAUCCGUAGUCCCAAAGGUAAAUACUCAGUACAGGGGGAAUCUACCGGGUGCAGUCCCAUAGUUCCAAUCUAAAUGUGCAAGGGGAUCUCCCAGAAUACCGUUCCAUAGUCCCAAAAUAAACAUACAGGGGGAUCUCCCGGGAUACCGUCCCGUAGUCCCAAAGUAAACACACAACAACAACACGAAGAAUACACAAUUCAAUUUAAAUCCCAUACCAAGGUAAAACAGGUAUUUCUAGCCUAGCAUGUUGCACAUAAUCCAAAUAAGGCAGUUUGAGCAAGUAAAGCAAUUAAGGCAAUUAGACAUGCUUCCAUAAGAUAGCAACAAGCUUAAAUUGCAAGUGUUAUAAACAGGAGAAGAAACACAAUUAGAAUUACUUAAAGAAAACCGAGUUUUUCAACAAUUAGCACAAGUACGCACUCGUCACCUCACGUACAAGGCAUUUCAAAUAUCAAUAAUAUCAAAUCCUAGGGGAAAUUUCCUCCACACAAGUUUAGCCAAGCCACUUACCUCGAACCGGCUCAAAAAUCAACCUGAAACCACGUUCUUGCCACGAGUACUCAACUCCAAAUGGUCCAAAUCUCUUCAAUUCAAUUGCAUAAUGUAAAUAACACUUCAAGUAACUAAUUCUACAAAUAAAUUCUAAGUUAAUACGGGAAAUUAGGUAAAAUGACCAAAACGCCCCUCGAGCCCACAUCUCGAAAUCGGGUAAAAUUUAAAUUUUCAGAAUCCUCAUACUCUCACGAGUUUAACCAUACCAAAAUUAUCCAAAUCCAAUGGUAAAUUCCCAAUCAAAACUCGAAAUCUAGGUCUAAGAACUUUCUUCAAAAAAUUUCCCAAUUUUCAUCUCCAAUCCGAAAUUAAAUGACAAACUAAGAUUAGAUUAUAGGGAUACAACUAGAAAGGGAUUAUGAAUCGUUACCCACUGAUUUCUUCUUAAAAAUCCUCCCAAAAUCGCCAUCUCCCGAGCUCCAAAUCAAUUUCUAACUUUUUGAAACUAAACCCUUGAAAUUUUGAUUUUUUUCUGCCCAGCAAAUCCGCAUCUGCGGUACCGUUUCUGCAGUCAAGGGGACCGCUCCAGCGAAUUCCACUUAAAACCUCUUCACCUUACCUUUGACCCACAAUCCGCAUCUGCGGUCACACAUGUGCGGUAUAUCUUCCGCUUCUGCGGUUCCUGGCCUUUCCUCAUCUGGCCGCUUCUGCGACUUGACUCCGAAUCUGCGGGAGUCGCACCUGCGGUCUCUCAACCGCAGAUAUGGUUAUGACAGCAGUCAUAGCUUCAGCUGCAACUCCAAAUUCCAAAUCCUUCCGUCAACCAUCCAAAAUCAUUCUAAGGCCCCCGGGACCUCAACCUAAAACAACAUCGAAACAUCUAAUCAACCACGGAUUCAAGCCUAAGAACUCCAAAACUCUCAAUUUACGCUUUCGAUCAAAAAGUCUAUCAAACCUCGUCCGAAUGACCUGAAAUUUUGCAAGCACGUCACAUUCAAUACUACGGAGCUACUCCAACUUUCGAAAUCCCAUUUCGGCCCCGAUAUCAAAAUCUCACUGUCAAAUCGGAAACUUCAAGCCUAAAUAAGCUACGGUCCUCCAAAACACAAUCUGAAUACACCCCUAAGCCCGAAAUCACUCAACGGAGCUAAUGGAACCAAUGGAAUUCCAUUCCAGGGUUGUCUUCACACUGCUCCAACUACGAUUCAAUUUCUAAAACUUAAACUCUCAUUUAGGGACUAAAUGUCCCAAAACUCUCCUAAACUCAGAACCAACAUCCCGGCAAAUCAAAAUAGCAGAAACAAACACAGGGAAAGCAGUUAAUAGGGGAUCAGAGCGUUUAUUCUUAAAAUGGCUGGCCGGGCCAUUACACGGGUGUACUCUUCUUUCUCUGAUGGUGACAGGUGAAUGCUUAUGUGAGUUUCUUUGACUGUUUCAGAAUCUCAAAAAUUGACUACCUCGGUUUUGUCCAAAUUAGACUUAGGCUUGUUCUCAAAAUUUUCCACUUCUCUCACAAUUUCCUCAAGUAUUAUAUCUUCUUCUUCUAUUUCCUCUGAAUCACUAUCCUUAUGUGGCAUUGUCUCAUUACAUGUCACGGUUGUUGGUUCAUCAGGAUAAGUAAUAAUAAUGUUGUAGAGAAAUGUAAAGGAUAAUAAUGAAUACUAAAAUAGCAAUGCAUUAAAUAAAUCUUGAAAACAAGUACGGCUCGAUGACUCGAAUAAUUAUUUCAAAACAAAAUAUGUCCAAAACAAAAUACUGAAAAUGUCUUAAAUUCUUAAAAUUGCUUUUAAAAAUAUAUCAUGCUAAUUACCAGGCUACCCAGGAACUCGAGGGGCCCGGGACGGUGCAACAGUCCAGUUCUUGAGAACAACUCCUUUUCCCACGGUCUGAAUUGUAAGGUCUUCCUCCUCCUCAACUACUGCAUUACAAUCCAUGUCUUCGUCGUCCAGAAAUAGAUUCCUCAGGCCAGCUAAAGCCUCAUCUUCUUCAGAUCCCCAUAUUACGUCAGUCUAUUGAAAUGUCUGGUGCAGAUGCGGUAUUGGCUGUUCAAUAGGGUAAUAAGGACCANNNNNNNNNNNNNNNNNNNNNNNNNACACUUUAGCUGUAUCAGUUUGGUAAUCCCUUGGAGAUUCUUACCGAGAACCUUGCCGGGUUCAUACCCUGCCUAUAACAAUAUGCUUUCAAUCUUAUUACUUUACCAUUUGUCUUUCUCAAUUGCAUUGAUGUGCUCGAUGCGAUGGUACGUUUCUCUGCCCAACUUCCUUCUAUUCUCGACAACCGGAAUAGUCUGAUUGGUAUAAAUGGGAUUGCUUCCAUCCUCAUAGAUGAUUAGUUCCUGAUGAUUUCAUUCAAACUUUACGGCCUGGUGUAGAGUGGAGGCUACAGCCCCAGCAGUAUGUAUCCAAGGUCGUCCCAACAAUAGAUUAUAUGUGGCAGAUAUGUCCAAUACUUGAAAUUCAAUAUCAAACCAAGUCGGGCCCAUAUGUAAACAUAGGUUGAUUUCCCCAAUCGUGGCCCUUUGGGACCCAUCGAAUGCUUUCACGUUCAUAGUUCCUACUCGUAUCUCAUGCAAACAUUUACCCAACCUCUUCAAAGUGGUCAAUGGACAAAUGUUGAGACUCGAACCCCCAUCUAUCAGGACCUUGGCGAUGAGUUUAUCCUCAAAAUGCACUGUGAUAUGUAGUGCCCUGUUGUGAGUCAGUCCUUCUGGAGGUAGCUUGUCUUCGUGAAAAGUGAUCUUGUGGCUUUCCAACACUUAUCCUACCAUGUUAGCCAUUUCUCCAUUAGUGAUGUUGUUUUGUACAUAGGCUUCAUUCAACACUUUCAUCAAUGCAUUUCUAUGCGCCUCAGAAUUCUGUAGUAGUGAUAGAAUGGAUAUCUAAGUAGGGUUUUGUUCAGAUUAUCAACCAUAGAAUACUCUCUUGCUUGCACCUUUCUCCAAAGAUCAUCCGGGCCAGUUUCAAUGAUAGGAUGCUUAGGAGCGGCUUCUUUACUUGUUCCUCCCAAAUGCUCGGGCAUGUAAACCUUAUCGGUCCUGGUUAUACCUUGUGCUACACCGGUUUCUUCCAUUUUCCCCUUUCCUUUCCUUCUCGCCUCUGCAGCAUAGUCCCAAGGUAUGGCAUUGGAAUUAAAGGACGGUGUGGGUGCUACUGUCACGGUGAAGGGUGUGGUCACUUCCACCUCAAACGGAGUUGGCGUAGCUGAUGGUGUUGUUACUUCAACCUUGCGGUUACUUCAACCUCUAUUGGUGACUGAAUCUGCACCACAAUAGGUGUAAGAAUGACUGAAGGUAUUUUAGGUUCAUGCCCUUCACGAAUGAGCCUGAUUGAUAUUUUGGAUCCCAUUCUUUAUCAGUUUCGAUCACAUUUACCCCCGCCCCUGUGAUCCGGGAGGGGAUUGUUGCAGACAUUAGGUGUAGCCUCUUUUGCUUGUAUAACCUUGGUGUCAAUCAGCAUCUGGAUCUUAUCCUUCAAAGUGCAACAUUCAUCGAUAGUAUGACCCUUCAUACCUGAGUGGUAGGCAUAUGUCUUGUUUGUAUUAACCCACUGGGAGGGAUUUUCCAUAGCAACGGUGGGAAUAAGAGUGACAUAACUGGCAGCCUUCAGUCUCUCAUACAACUGAUCGAUGGGUUCAGCAAUAGGAGUGAAUUGUUUGGGCGGUCUACGGUCAAAAUUUGGUUUGGGUUUUUGGUAGUUUUGGCAGGCUAGUAGUGAGUGGUAGUAUGUUGGCUAAGUGUUAUAAGUAUGGUAAGUGGCGGCGGGUUGUUGGUAUCUGGAGGUGAAGGCUGAUAUGUGGGUGGUGGUGUUUGGUAUGUGAGAGGAGACUUCGGACCUUGGGCUACCAUCACUGCCCCUACUUCCUUCUUUUUAGAAAUACCGCCCGACGGCAAGGCUUUGUUUGUAGCCUGUAGUGCCUCAAAAUUUGUUAUCAUUCUGCUUUUAGUUCCCUCUUCUAUUCUUUCUCCCAAUUUGAUGAUGUCAGAAAAUUUAUGGUUUUCAAUAACCAUCAACCUCUCAUAAUAUUGCGGAUCCUAAGCUCGGACAAAGAACUUAUUCAUUUAUUCUUCUUCCAGUGCUUGCCUUGCUUUCGCAGCUUCUGAUCUCCAUCGAGUAGCAUAAUAACGUCCAAAUCCACUACUAAAAAGUAAAUGGACACGGUCGCAUGCAAUAUAAUUUACCCAACUAUGAGUCGGGGUCGAAUCCACAGAGAACAAUAUGUAGGCGAUCAGGAAUGUAAGAGAAUUAUCACUUACCGCGCAAUGCCAAACACUUAGAUUUUGGUUUAUAAAAUGUUUAUAUCUAAAUACCGAAAUGUAAAGUAACCUAGAAAGCAAGUAAAAUGAUUAAUGGCUACAAGUAUGGAUGCAUCGGAAAUUACACUCAAGUAAAGAUCCAAUGUAUUUCACGAUUUUAUAAAUAUGAGCGAGUUUAUGUUAAUUAGCCACGGAUUCUGUGCCAGAGUACUCCGACCAUCUAAAGUCUCAACAUUCUCUGCAUGCGUAGCAUUGUCUUUCCUUAUACUACUCAUAUCAUCCAUUCUGGCUUUUCCCUUGCUUUUAGGAUCAGUUGGAGGAGGAGGUGGUGGAGGACCUUUAGAUCUGGUAUGAUAUGCUGAUGAUGCCAGUAUGCGCGAACUAACCUUAGGGGAUGAGAAUAAGCAAUCAAAGAAAAGAAGAAAACAAAAGGUAAACGAGGCAGUAAGGGGUAUUAAAGGAUGUUUGCGGUAUUUAAACACAUAUUGCAAAGUUAUAAAUUCGCGUCCUAGUUUGGGGACCUCAUUGUGCCCGAGGUAGGCCUAAGUGACAUAUAGAUUUGGAGAAAAUCAAUGCCAAUAACUACGUCAUUUUAUUAAUAUGAUAAAUGAACCAAAUCUCUACUAAAACGAAAGUAAUUAUAAAGGGUCACUAAUGACAUUUGCCUUAUUACAACCAAAGUCAAAAACGAGUCUGGAAAGCAAGUGAAACAUCAUUCCUAAUCUAUUUGGUCCCAAAGGGACCUUCUCCAUGCUUGGCCUUCUUUGCUCCAUCGAUCAGAUUCCCCAGGUCGCGCAUGUCCAGUAGCAGAUACGCCCUUGCUAGAUACCCUCCUUCGUUGCCCUUUGCAUUCUGACAGUCCGAGAUCCUUUUCCUUAUCUUUCCCUCAACCUCUGCUCCAAAUAUUCCAGCCUCUCUGUUGAUUUAGUAGCAAUUUCUUUCCACUCGUUGAUUGUUUCCAUGUCCACUUUAUGUUGUUCCAAAUUCCUGGCUUCAGACUCGAAAACCCUUUUGCGCAACCUCCUAUAUUUGACUUGUGCUUUAGCAGUGUCGUCUACAACCCUAUUCUUUAGAUUAGUCCAUGGCCUGACAUCCCCCGCUAUAUCAUCUACAGACCAUGAUAGAUAGAAAUACAUAUGCCGGCGUGAUACCUAUCUGGCUCGAUGGUAUCUUUCUCCCCAAUGAUAUUUUGAUGCCACUUAUGUUGUGCCUCGAACUUGAAUGGAAUGGCGUUCCCCUGGAAGUACGCGUUGUACUGAACUAUUUUAGAAACUCGUGGUAUAACCUGUUUUCUCCCAGUUUGUCUCAUAACCCUGAUAGGAGCAUAAGGAUAGAUCCCCCUCAAUCCGAUUAGCACUAUAUGGGGAGUAUUUCUCGACCUGAUGAUGAAUUCACUGCUAGGGAACCACUCGAACAUCUAAUGUACCUUGUCAUCAGUCAGAUUGCUGAAGAAAUGUACCCAGCUCACAGCGUUUUCUGGUUGCACAAACCUAUUUGGGAUAAAAGUCAUUCUCUUCGGAUGGUGAUAGGCUAUGUGGUCAUUCCAAGGUCGUCGCAGAAGUUCUUGACGGUAUUCCCCUCUCUGAAGGUGUUCCAACAACCAUACUUGCAGCAACAGAUUGCAACCCUCGAAAUGCCUAUACCCCUUUUUGCAAUGGUCUAAAGCCCGAUACAUCUCAGUCAAAAUUAUAGGGACAAUAGUGUAAGUUCGCCCCUCAAUCCCCUCCAUUAAGGUCUUAGUGACUAUAGCUAGGCGAGUGUGGAUCCUUUCUCCCUGUAUUGGAAAUACCAACAUCCUAGAAAUCAGACAAUAAAUACAAAAACUCGGUGGUGAGCCCAACCCAAAUAAGUGAUGGAAAACUCAUCAUGGUAAAGGCGAUAUGACUUGUUGUGCCCAUAACGCUCAUAAAGGAAAUCGAAUGGCAUGUAAGACUUCUUCAGUCAGACUAACUCAUCAUUUUUCCUAAAACCCAUCAUUUUCAAGAAACCUCGAGAAGUGUGGUUUUUCAGUACCAACAAACUAGGGCUAUCCCAUGGGAGUCCAGCGAACCUCCUAUUUCUUCUAAAAUGGGAGUCAUUUUCAUGUUGACAAAAUGGAAGACGACUCUCUUCUCAUCCCAAAACAUGGUGGCGGCCUCAAUUAAUGUAUUGUUUGGCUGAAUGUCUAACAAGGAGGGUAAAUUUCUGAGGACUCUUUUCACAUGAUUUUUGUCACUUGGUGAGAGAUUUUCCCACCAAUCUAGCAGUAAAGGUGGGAUAUUUUGAACCAUGUCGAACCAGGGGACUUCGUCCCUCAUUUCUGCAAAACAAAUAGAGAUAGCCAUUUACCCCUCCGGAUUUGGCUAUUUACACGUUAAUGAUCAAUAUAUUGCCAUGUUUUGUCCAAAUAAUGCACAUAUCGUGAUUGUGCCCAUUGGGAUUAUGGAAAUUCCGGCAAACUUUGGACAAGGCUUGUCUUAGCGAGUUACUACACGGAUAGCGUUCUAACCCAUACUAGAUUUGGACAUGAUGCAUGCACAGUUAAUAUUAGAAUGAAUGUUUCUAGAAGAGUCUAGACCGAUACCCUCAAGUGUACAACUUGAGAGGGAAAGGCAUGGAACCGUCGACUGCACCGCUGAUCGACAAGUUUUACCGCAAAUAAGCCUUUCCAAAUUUAAAGGGUAAUUUAGGAAGAGCGCGGACACUCAUCAAGCGCCGCUAUGGUAUUAAUUACGCACGAGUGGAAUAUGAUGUGGAGCAUGCUUUAUGCAAAGAUAAAACAAUACGUUGUCAAAUAUUUUGCAUGAUGAAAAUAGUAAAUGCAGUAUUGAAUAAAACAUAAAGACAUAAAAAGAAGGAAAAAUAAGGAAGAAGUUAGUUCAUGCAAUGUGGAAAUUGUAAUAAAGUAAACAAGGAAGUGAGUUUGGGGAGAGACAUGAUGUAGCAAUUCUAAAAAAUGCCUAAAGAAAAAUGCAUGUUAUGACCAAAUUGAGUAGAGAUUUGCAUAUUAAUGCGAAUUCAAAUAAAGGGAAAACAGGAAAAAAGGUUUACAGGUAGCAAUAAAGGGGAAACGGGAGCGAGAUAUUCAUGUAACAACAAAAAUAAUAAAAGACACACUUAUCAGAGAAGACUAAUUCAUAUAGACCAAGUUUGCUAUGGUAAGAGCCAAAAAAUAUCCCCAGUAGAGUCGUCAUGCUGUCGCGCCCCUUUUUCUCGCGAAAUCAAGUUUCGACACGUGACAACUCUUUUAAAGAAGGUGUUAAAAGAGAAGAGUCGCCCCAUAACGGGUUUGAGGUAUGUUAGGGCACCUAUUUGCAAAUAACUCUGGUUUAACCAGUUUGCGUCACCAAAGAUCAGGUAAGGGCUCAAAAAGAGAAGGUGUUAGGCACUCUUCGAGGUACACAACUGUGGGUCCCGGCUAAACUCGAAUUAUAUGAAUUAGUCAGACAAACAAAGAAAAAGAAAGCAAGAAGUUCGGGAAGUUUUAUUAAACACAAAUAAUUGAUUUAAAGAAAAGAUUAGGCAGGGGAGGGGGGUCAUAAGAUUUUUAGCCUAAAGGAUCACCCCGUGCAACAUAAUAAUACUUUGUAACUCCCUCAAGAUGGGGUGUUACUCGUAUUAUUCAACAGGCACAGACUGUCAUCUCCUGCUACCCGAUUACUAUCUUUAAGUUGUUAUCUUAAGCGCACUAGUUGAUUCUAAACCAUGCCUUAUGCGUGCACUGCCCGUCCCAUGUCUAUGGCCCAGGAGGCAUUUGGACCUCUAUUUUGGGUGGUUCUAGACUUAACUUAGGCUGCUCAAAAAUGAUAAAACUAGGCGACAUACAAAACAAUUUGGACUUCAUGUAAAGGCAACUAAGGGCUCAAGUUAGCCUCCACAUAUAAACAACAAAUGCACGCUAACAGGUAUGUAAUGAGGCAGUUUCAGAAUUAAGAACCUUAAUCCCUAUAGACAUGAUUUCUAUGUGAUAAGGUAUCAAAACAUACAAGCAUUUUUUCGAAGGCCAUGCGAUGUUUAUCUCUAAAUGAUUAUACGAUUUGCAUGAUGAUUUGAAAUUUCAGAUUUCCAGUAUUUUAUCCUACAGAUGCUGCAUUUAAGUGAUUUACACAGUAGAGGGAGCAGUAAAACCUAUUGGAAAAGCCUAGAAUUACUCAUGUUUUCUGACAGUGACAUGAAUAAGCAGUAAACAUCGUUUGAGAAAUUCAACAUCAACAAUUUAGAGUGAGUAAUUAUACCCUAUAGGCAGGAUCUCUAAUGAUCAGUGCAUGGAACCAAUUUUAUUAUGCUUAACCCCCUAUAAACAUGUUUUCUAAGUGAUCAUUAUGAUACAAUAGCAAAUAGGAUAAUUAAAAUCCUAUAGGUAUGGUUUCUAGUGCAUAUGUAGCAGUAGGAGCAUUUAAACUCAUGUUUUGCUAGUAGACGAGUAGUGUGAGUGUCAUACCCCGAACCUGGGAGGCGUGGCUGGCACCCGGUGCCGCACUGGUCCGAGCGAACCACUUUGUAACUCAUGGUCAUUCGACCAAAACUUGAACAUACAUAGGUCGAGUUAGCUGAACUCAUUCCAUUCGCAACUAUCAUGGGCUCACAUGGCUACAACUCAUAAUGUAUAACUGUAAGUGGGCAACACUAUAUCAAUAAACUAUCAUUCUUAAAAAUAUGAACACAUAUGCGUGUCACACCUCCUUUUUCUAUCCCCGGAAGGGAGUAUAGGAGAAUUUUUUCAAUUUAAGUGAAAAUUGAAACGGGAUUAUUUAUAUUAAAAUCAGAGUCGCCACUUGGGAUAAUUUAUGGUGUCCCAAGUCACCGGUUUAAAUCCCGAGUCGAGGAAGUUUGACUCUGUUUUACAGUUCGCAAAACAUAGAAAUUCGGAUAAGAAAUUCUAUUAACCCGGGAGAACGUGUUGGGCAUUCCCAAAUUCCGUGGUUUUAGCACGGUCGCUCAACUGUUAAUAUUGGCCUGUUUAUCUUAUUUUAAAAUAUUUUUGAAACCUACGUGCAUUUUAUUCCUUUUAAAAUCGCUUUUAAAAAUCCAAUUGUCAUACAACUAAUUAUUUUGAUUACACAUUGCGAAUCAUGUCACGGGAGUCGUAUCCACGAUCCACAACAUGUUUGUUUUAUUAACAAGAUUAAAUUGUGGCCGGGUCACAUAAAUGUACCCUCAAAUUUUAGAAAUUAAGCAUCACAACUACGUCACGGGAAAAGUACCUGUGGCUAUGACAAUUUAUUUAAUUAACCCGCCUAAAGCAAACUACAAAAGUUCAAGGCAUUUUCUACACUAGUUAAGAUAUCGAUGUGAGGGUCGUAGACUAGGUGAUUGGAUGGCACACCUCUAUUUCAUUAAAGGAAAAACAUUCAACUAAGUGAACUACGGAUAUUCAUGUUUGAAACUAAUUUGAGAUUAAGUAUCACAAACACGUCAUGGGAAUCAUACCCGUAGUUGUGAUGAUUUAUUUACAUGCCUAAAGUAAUUAGCGGUUAUGGGAGAAAAGUAGAAAUAAAACAAACUAAAAUGAAUGGAUGAAAGUCAAUUCAUGUUAAUUCGGUUUCAAUCACAAAUCUCAUGGCUCGUAGAGAUGUAUACAUUAUUCAAACAAUCCAAACAUGAAAUGCCCAAAUAACUCUAGCGAAUAAUAACAGAAUUUAAACCAAGAAGAAUUGAGAAACAAUAGAUAAGUAUCAUGUUGUUCAUAUCACAUUGGAAGCUGACGCAGAAAUAAAAGUAAGAGUGAUAAGAAUUGAACCUGGGAUUGCUUCUUUUAAAUGAGUAAAAUAAAAAAUUAGAGAGGUAUGCUCAGACUGACUGUGUGGAAGACCCGGCAACGAAGUUUGAAUGUGCAAUAAAAAACAACAAGACAGCAACAAUCGAAAUCGGAACCGCAAAUUGAACCAACGACGGAAUCACUUCGAAUCGAAUUCCGAAUCAACAAACCUGAAAACCCGAAAUUGGACCGAAAAUAAUUUUUUCUUUUGGUUCUUGAUUCCUCCAUGUAAAUCAUAGAAAAGCAGAGCUUUGCAAAAGGUACACGUUUUAUUCAUUAUCCUUCCAGCCAAUGACACUUCAUCGACAAAAUGAGCUCCACUUUCUAAAACCUCAAAUUCCUUCACUUAAUCAAAUCUGUUCCUCCUAAAUCUAUCUUCCUCUAUUUUUUUUGCGUGUUUUUUUGUGUGUUAUUUGGUUUAGAGAGUGGCUGCCAUUCUCCUCUUUUGUGUGUUCAAGCUGCUGGAGGAAGUAAUGUGGUAGGUGUUGUAAUGGAGGAGUUGUUCUUUUGGUGAAGAAGAUGAUACAAUGGUUGUGUCCAUUUUCUAAAUUC
rnacentral:lncRNA from 1 species